rnacentral:lncRNA from 1 species
UUCAUAUAUGGGGGGAUAUUAAUGCAUCAUUUAUAUGUUUUUAUUAAAUUAAAAUGAUAAUCAAUGUUGCAUUAACCAAUCUCAAAUAUAAUAAAUCGAAUAUCCACUUCACGAAUUUCUUUGUAAUUUGCAUAUUAUUUUUUAUAAAUUUCUGCUUGAUUUUAUAAUGUGUUCUAAUAAGAUUAUGUGUAGUAGAUGGACUUGAAUUUUUUUAUGAGUCCAAUAUUUGUCAUGAAAGGUGAGAAUUCAAUAUUUAAUUAAGAGAACAUCAUUUUCUAUGAUUUUUCUGUACUUAAAAUUCGAACCAAGGACGACAUCAUUUCCUUUAAGCAACAUGCAAGGUUUUCACAGAUUUAGAUUCUAUUUCUUUUGCAGAUUUUUACUUGAGAAUAAUUAGACUUUAAAUGGAUCUUUUUUGCUACUAUUUCACCACAUGCAUUACAUUUUUCUUUGGUUUUUGUUGUAUGUUUGUUCGCACUAAGUCAUAGAUGGAUUGAAUUGGAAAUGAAGUCUAUUGGUGCUGAAAGAUAGAAAUGUGAGCCAAUUGUGUUUUUAUUAUUAUCUUUUUCCUCUUUUCUUCCC